AACGUAGGACGCGAGCGUUAUCCGGAGUUACUGGGCGUAAAGCGCGGGCAGGCGGUCUGACAAGUCUGAUGUGAAAUCUCCGGGCUUAACCGGGAGAGGCCAUUGGAAACUGACAGGCUGGAGGGCAGUAGAGGUAGGCGGAAUUCCGGGUGGAGUGGUGAAAUGCGUAGAGAUCCGGAGGAACACCAGAGGCGAAGGCGGCCUACUGGGCUGCACCUGACGCUGAGCCGCGAAAGCCAGGGGAGCGAACGGG
rnacentral:rRNA from 2 species